GGGAGAAACAAGCCAAUGGUGCUAAAAAUUCGUUUCCAACUGAAGAUACGGGUUCCUGGUCAAGAACGGGCUGCUCCCUCGUUUCAACCAACCUGACCCACUCGUCUUGCGCUUGUGACCACGAAGGCCUUUUUGCCUUACUUGGACAAGAAAAGACUCAUUCUGGCAAACUGAAGUUGUUGACGAAUACUUACAUUGGAAUUGGAAUUUCAUAUUUCAUCCUCAUUCUAGCUAUUAUACAUAUUGUCUG